UACGGGAGGCAGCAGUGGGGAAUAUUGCACAAUGGGCGCAAGCCUGAUGCAGCCAUGCCGCGUGUAUGAAGAAGGCCUUCGGGUUGUAAAGUACUUUCAGUCGUGAGGAAGGUGUUAAGGUUAAUAACCUUAGCAAUUGACGUUAGCGACAGAAGAAGCACCGGCUAACUCCGUGCCAGCAGCCGCGGUAAUACGGAGGGUGCGAGCGUUAAUCGGAAUUACUGGGCGUAAAGGGCACGCAGGCGGUUAAUUAAGUUGGAUGUGAAAUCCCCGGGCUUAACCUGGGAAUGGCAUUCAAGACUGGUUAGCUAGAGUCUUGUAGAGGGGGUAGAAUUCCAUGUGUAGCGGUGAAAUGCGUAGAGAUGUGGAGGAAUACCGGUGGCGAAAGGCGGCCCCUGGACAAAAGGACUGACGCUCAUGUGCGAAAAGCGUGGGGAGCAAAACAGGAUUAGAUACC
rnacentral:rRNA from 1 species